rnacentral:rRNA from 1 species
GACGAACGCUGGCGGCGUGCUUAACACAUGCAAGUCGAACGGAAAGGCCCUGCUUUUGUGGGGUGCUCGAGUGGCGAACGGGUGAGUAACACGUGAGUAACCUGCCCUUGACUUUGGGAUAACUUCAGGAAACUGGGGCUAAUACCGGAUAGGAGCUCCUGCUGCAUGGUGGGGGUUGGAAAGUUUCGGCGGUUGGGGAUGGACUCGCGGCUUAUCAGCUUGUUGGUGGGGUAGUGGCUUACCAAGGCUUUGACGGGUAGCCGGCCUGAGAGGGUGACCGGCCAAAUUGGGACGGGGAUACGGCCCAGACUCCUACGGGAGGCAGCAGUGGGGAAUAUGGCACAAUGGGCGGAAGCAUGAUGCAGCAACGCCGCGUGCGGGAGGACGGCCUUCGGGUUGUAAACCGCUUUCGCCUGUGACGAAGCGUGAGUGACGGUAAUGGGUAAAGAAGCACCGGCUAACUACGU